rnacentral:rRNA from 1 species
UACGAAGGGGGCUAGCGUUGCUCGGAAUCACUGGGCGUAAAGGGCGCGUAGGCGGCGUUUUUAAGUCGGGGGGUGAAAGCCUGUGGCUCAACCACAGAAUGGCCCUCGAUACUGGGACGCUUGAGUAUGGUAGAGGUUGGUGGAACUGCGAGUGUAGAGGUGAAAUUCGUAGAUAUUCGCAAGAACACCGGUGGCGAAGGCGGCCAACUGGACCAUUACUGACGCUGAGGCGCGAAAGCGUGGGGAGCAAACAGG